AAGACAACAGUGAUGCAGAUCCUCUGUGGAGGAGGAGUCCUGUCUGAUGGAGCCGUUCAUCCAUCGGUGGUCAUUUUCCAUCAGAUCCAGAGAUGUGGGUGUGGACGACAUCAGAGGAGACGUCAGCAGUGGACCUGUGAAGGGGAGCAGAGACCCCACACUCUCUUCUUUAAACUCUUGUCACACAGAUGUAAUGGAGUAAAAAAAGUCCAAUAGUUACCUCUCAGAUGUUUUGAUGCAGAGGUAUAAAGUAGCUGAUGUGCUUACUUAUACUCCAUCACCAGUGUCAAGGUGAUCUACCUGUUAUAAAAUAGACUGGAGUCUAAAACAUCAGUAGUAUCAUUGCAUUGCUAUACAAGUUAAUUUGAUCACUAAUAUCAAACUACAACAAAGGGAGUUAAAGUUCACAUUAACUUGAAGAAUGGAAUUCAUGAUCCCUUCACACGCUCAUCCAUACAAUUACACUCAGAAAAUACACAAACAGUUCACAAAAGUCACAACUUUAUUGCACCUUUAUAGUUUCCUAUAAUGUGGUAAGAGCCACUUUCACUAUGAAAGGUCUCUUCCCUGGUCAGAAAAGGUGGUGCAAAAUAUAGAACCAUCAAUGCAAACAUGUGGACCAUCCAGUCAUACUGGUUAAAUGUUCCUGUGUCCAUUUGAGAGUCACACCCUACAUCGAUGUCACAGUCGACGAACACGUCCUAGGAGCUUUAGACUGUCACAGCCUCUCUUGUACUGUACACACUACAGUGACAUAGGGAAGGUCUUGCAUGAAAAAAGACAACUCUCCUAUACACAAAUGAGCAAACACAUUUGCAGAUAAAUUGUCAAGUUUAACAUCCACCAACUGACUCAAGUAUUAGUACCACGUUAAAGACCUGUCUUUUCAUCUUUAAAUUAUAUAUUUUUAACAUUAAAUCCUAUACUUUUUAUAGCCAAUUCAAGGCAACAUCUCUAGAAUGAAAAGAAAUGCAUGGGCAAGUCUUUACAGCGUUGGAGGGAAACACAGGAAGCACAAGAUGGACUGUACAAUCUUCUACACUGGCAAAGCAUUUUGUUAUCGUGAUUUCUCUACACAUCUGUGCCAGGAUAGCGGUGCAAGAUGAUCCCAUGGUUUCCACACCUGAAAUACAUGUAUAAAACAGUUUCUACAAGAUGUACAGGGUGCAGGAUGGUGGUCCAGGGAAAAGGAGGAGUCCUCUGAUAAUCAACAGGAGAUGUAGAUCAGAGAUGAGGAUAGGGUGCAGGAUAUCUGGUUCCUGAGUCUCAGCCCAGUUUUUAGGUGACCAGCAUGACCGUCAGAAAAAUUGCAUAGAGAUAUAAAUUACACGGGGAAAAGAAAUUAUUAGCGCGUUGCAAUCCCAUUCUAACACAGUGCCUGAAGUAUAAAAUUUAACCCUUUUAUUUCAGUACAUUGGUAAAGAACAGUUUGCGGUGAUGUUUAUUACAGAGAACUGUGAAGUCAAACCUCCAGACAGAGCAAAUCCUGAACGCUGGACUGAUGAGAUGAGCUACAUAGUUUCAUAGCUGCACUGUAGAAAAUAACUGCUCCCGUCUAAGUUCCUCCAACAACCUUACGCUCUCCUCUGCAGAUGCACGACGCACUAUGAGCUGUCAGAAAAA